rnacentral:rRNA from 1 species
AGCAUUACUAGUAUUAGAGGCAAUGCCUGCCCAGUGACACCAGUUUAACGGCCGCGGUAUUCUGACCGUGCAAAGGUAGCAUAAUCACUUGUUCUCCAAAUAAGGACUUGUAUGAAUGGCCACACGAGGGUUUUACUGUCUCUUACUUCCAAUCAGUGAAAUUGACCUUCCCGUGAAGAGGCGGGAAUAAAAAAAUAAGACGAGAAGACCCUAUGGAGCUUUAAUUAACUAUUCCAAAAGUUAGACAAUUCAACCACAAAGGGAUAAAACAUAACUUAACAUGGACUAGCAAUUUCGGUUGGGGUGACCUCGGAGUACAAAAAACCCUCCGAGUGAUUUUAAUCUAGACAAACCAGUCAAAAUAACCAUAACAUCACUUAUUGAUCCAAAAUUUUGAUCAACGGAACAAGUUACCCUAGGGAUAACAGCGCAAUCCUAUUCUAGAGUCCCUAUCGACAAUAGGGU